UUGACAUAUCAAAUUUGUCCGCUUUUGAAUGAUCUAAUGAAUGCCAUUUACAGAACCGUGAUAGCUGUUCUUGAUGCAGGGCUAUUAAUUUGUAAAAUUCAUGCUUAUAUUUUUCUCGAACUUUCGAAUUUUUGAAAAUUCUAAACAAAGUUCUGGC
rnacentral:lncRNA from 1 species